rnacentral:rRNA from 1 species
AUGAGUGUUUUCGAACUUCUGUAUUCUGUGUGUGACAACCUCACAAGAAUGAUGCGGCAAUAUUGGUGGGGAGUUGAGAAUGAAAGAAGGAAAAUGGCUUGGGUUUCUUGCGACAAGCUUGUCUUACCAAAACAAAAGGGUGGUCUUGAUUUUAGAGAUAUGAGAGCAUUCAAUCAAGCAUUGCUGGCUACACAGGCCUGGAGACUUAUUGAUCAACCGGAUAGCCUUUGUGCAAGGCUGUUGCGAGCUAGGUAUUACCGUAAUGGAAAUCUUGGGGAUACAGUUUUUUCAGUCAAUGCAUCCGCGGAUUGGCGUGGCAUUGAACACGGGCUGGAGUUAUUGAAAAAAGGUAUCACUUGGCGUGUUGGUAAUGGAAUUUUGAUUCGGUCUUGGUGGGACCCAUGGAUUCCAAGGGGUCCAUCAUUUCGUCCAGUUAUGCCAAAACGUCAUUGCAGACUCGAUAAGAGUAUCAGACUUCUUGGAUAUUCAUGGUGUUUGGAGACUGGAUUUAUUGCAGCAACACUUUCUUCCUGCUGA